rnacentral:rRNA from 1 species
AUGAACAACAGAAUACUAUCGGGAAGAGACACAGGAGCUUUGACCAGGGGCUAUGUGAAUAAACUAAGGAUUGCUGUGCCUGGAAAACCGGGGUUUAAAGCUUUUGUGAAUGCAACUUCUCAUAAUGUCAGUGGCUAUUGCAUUGAUAUCUUUGAGGCUGCUGCGAAGAAACUACCACAUGUUCUUCGUUAUGAGUUCGUUGUCGUUGAUGGUUCUUAUGAUGAACUAGUACGCAACGUGUGUUCGGGGAUCUACGAUGCAGUAGUGGGUGACAUAACUAUAACCGCAGAGCGAGCUGUUGACGUGGACUUCACGAUGCCAUACACCGAGUCAGGCGUGUCACUGCUUGUGCUCACCGAGAAUGACUCCAAGCCAGCAAUUGAAUGGGUGUUCCUAAAGCCAUUAACUACACAACUUUGGUUAGCACUUGUGGGGGGAUUCUUCUUCACUGGACUUGUUGUGUGGACGAUCGAGUUUCCCAGAAACCCGGAGUACCAAGGAUCGAGUUUGAGACAGUGCAGCACUGCUCUCUACUUUUCUUUCUCGACUUUGACAUUUUCUCAUGGUCAAAUUAUUAGAAGCCCCCUGUCAAAAAUUGUUGUGGUGAUAUGGUGCUUUGUUGUGCUGGUUAUAGUACAGAGCUACACAGCUAGCUUAUCAUCCAUUCUGACUGCAAAAAGGCUCCGGCCCUCAGUGACAGAUCUUGAGCAGCUCCUGUCAAAUGGUGAUUAUAUUGGAUACCAAUCUGGAUCACUUGUACAAUCUGUCUUGAAAAAACGAGGCUUCAAUGUUAAUAGGUUAAAUGCCUACACGAAUAAAACGGAAUAUGCUGAAGCCUUGAGAAAGGGGUCAAAGAAUGGAGGUGUCUCGGCUAUCGUUGAUGAGAUCCCUUAUAUAACCUCGUUUCUCUCUGACCCUAAGUACCAUAAUGAAUUCCAGAUGGUCAAUCGCAUAUACAAGACACCUGGACUUGGUUUCGUGUUUCCGAAAGAGUCUCAGCUGGUGCAUGAUCUUUCGGUUGCCAUCCUGGAGCUGACAUUUGGGGCUGAGGGCUCACAAAUUGAAGAGAAAUGGUUAGGCAAAGCGACACCAUUGCCGAGCUAUGGCAUGCCCAACACAGAUGCGACACCUCUCACUUUGCAAAGUUUCUCUGGUCUCUUCAUCAUCACUAGUUCCGAGGGAGAUGGCGGAAGUGAAGGUCACGGAGGAUCUGGUCCGCUGCAGAACGGCACGGGCAAUAGGUCUAUGGCUAAUCAACCCCACCAUGAAGCCAGAAAUGUGAAUCCUCAGGGUGUCAAUGGGAUCGGAGAAAGUCCUGGUGAUGUAGAGCCCAAUGACUCUUUGCCCGAACACGCCAUCCUAAUCGAGAUGAACACUCGAUGA